rnacentral:rRNA from 1 species
UAAGGAAUAUUGGUCAAUGGGCGGAAGCCUGAACCAGCCAUGCCGCGUGCAGGAAGACGGCCCUACGGGUUGUAAACUGCUUUUGCAGGGGAAUAAACCCCCGUAUGUAUACGGGGUUGAAUGUACCUUGAGAAUAAGGAUCGGCUAACUCCGUGCCAGCAGCCGCGGUAAUACGGAGGAUCCAAGCGUUAUCCGGAUUUAUUGGGUUUAAAGGGUGCGUAGGCGGCUUUUUAAGUCAGGGGUGAAAGACGGUAGCUUAACUAUCGCAGUGCCCUUGAUACUGAAGAGCUUGAAUAUACUAGAGGUAGGCGGAAUGUGACAAGUAGCGGUGAAAUGCAUAGAUAUGUCACAGAACACCAAUUGCGAAGGCAGCUUACUAUGGUAAGAUUGACGCUGAGGCACGAAAGCGUGGGGAUCAAACAGGAUUAGAUACCCCCGUAGUCC